CCCUUAGAUGUUCUGGGCCGCACGCGCGCUACACUGACGAAUGCAACGAGCUUAUAACCUUGGCCGAAAGGUCUGGGUAAUCUCCAAAUUUCGUCGUGAUGGGGAUAGAUUAUUGCAAUUAUUAAUCUUCAACGAGGAAUGCCUAGUAAGCGCAAGUCAUCAGCUUGCGUUGAUUACGUCCCUGCCCUUUGUACACACCGCCCGUCGCUCCUACCGAUUGAAUGGUCCGGUGAAGCGUUCGGACCGUGGCCUUUGGACGGUUCGCCGUCUGUUGGCUGCGGGAAGUUCUUUAAACCUUAUCAUUUAGAGGAAGGAGAANUCGUANCA
rnacentral:rRNA from 1 species